UGAGGUGUGUGACUGUGUACAGGUGUGCACUGUUCAGGUGCGUGACUGUUGAGGUGAGUGACUUGUUCAGGUAUGUGAUUGCUGAGGUGUGUGACUGUACAGGUGUGCGCUGUUGUUCAGGUGCGUGACUGUUGAGGUGAGUGACUGUUGUUCAGGUAUGUGAUUGUUGUUGAGGUGUGUGACGGUACAGGUGUGCGCUGUUGUUCAGGUGCGUGACUUGCUCAGGUGUGCGAUGUUGUUCAGGUAUGUGAUUGUUCAGGUGUGUGACUGUUGUUCGGGUGCGUGACUUGCUCAGGUGUGUGACUGUGUUCACGUGUGACUGUUCAGGUGUGUGACUGUGUUCACGUGUGACUGUUCAGGUGUGUGACUGUGUUCACGUGUGACUGUU